CAGGUUCCAAGGGUUGGGCUGUUCGCCCAUUAAAGCGGUACGCGAGCUGGGUUCAGAACGUCGUGAGACAGUUCGGUCCCUAUCUGUCGUGGGCGUUGGAAAUUUGAGAGGAGCUGUCCCUAGUAUGAGAAGACCGGGAUGGACGCACCGCUGGUGUACCAGUUGGCCUACCAGGGCCACCGCUGGGUAGCUAUGUGCGGAAGGGAUAAGCGCUGAAAGCAUAUAAGCGUGAAGCCCCCCUCAAGAUGAGAUUUCCCACUCGCAAGAGGUAAGAUCCCUUAGAGAUGAUGAGGUUGAUAGGUCAGGUGUGUAAGCACGGUGACGUGUUUAGCUGACUGAUACUAAUAGAUCGAGGACUUAACCUUA
rnacentral:rRNA from 1 species